CAUUUUUCUUUUUUUAUCUUAUACACAGAUAACAUUUCUCUAUUUUACUCCGCACUUCCUUAGUUGUACUAAGUAAAUAUAAAUAUAAUAGCUCUAAGAAAUUCGUUUAUAAUUCCAUCUAAUCCAACAAUUUUAAAAUACUAAUAUGAACAUUUUUAUGCGUUUACGUUUUCUCUUCGAAUUCACCUAACAUUUAGUUCUAUAUUAGCAUGCACUUAUACAAAUCUGCUAUUUUUCCACUUUUACCAAUGUAUUGAAAAGGAUGCUGCAUCGUCACCUACUGUCUACGUCUUACAAACGCGAGACAUAAAAAAAUUCGUUUAGACAUAUUUUGAGCUGUUAGUUUUAAUAUUAAAGCAAAUUAACUCAAUAUCAAAAUUCAAGGUUGAAAGAUUAUAUAUACCUCAGUUUUGAGUUUUU